GACGAACGCUGGCGGCGUGCUUAACACAUGCAAGUCGAACGGAAAGGCCCUGCUUUUGUGGGGUGCUCGAGUGGCGAACGGGUGAGUAACACGUGAGUAACCUGCCCUUGACUUUGGGAUAACUUCAGGAAACUGGGGCUAAUACCGGAUAGGAGCUCCUGCUGCAUGGUGGGGGUUGGAAAGUUUCGGCGGGUGGGGAUGGACUCGCGGCUUAUCAGCUUGUUGGUGGGGUAGUGGCUUACCAAGGCUUUGACGGGUAGCCGGCCUGAGAGGGUGACCGGCCACAUUGGGACUGCGAGACGGCCCAGACUCCUACGGGGGGCAGCAGUGGGGAACAUUGCACAAUGGGCGGAAGCCUGAUGCAGCAACGCCGCGUGCGGGAUGACGGCCUUCGGGUUGUAAACCGCUUUCGCCUGUGACGAAGCGUGAGUGACGGUAAUGGGUAAAGAAGCACCGGCUAACUACGUG
rnacentral:rRNA from 1 species